rnacentral:SRP_RNA from 2 species
GCCGGGCAUGGUGGUGCGUGCCUGUAAUCCCAGCUACUCAGGAGGCUGAGGCAGGAGAAUCACUUGAACCUGGGAGGGGGAAGGUGCAGUGAGUUGAGACUGUGCCACUGCACUCGAGCCUGGGUGACACAGUGAGACUCUGUCUCAA